ACACGGUCCCCAGAGACGCUGCUCAGGGUGACUGAGGCACCUCUGAGAUUUAAAUCAGCAUCUACACAGUCCCUGUCACUGUGUUUUGUUGGAGAGGAAGGAGAAGCUGUUUCUACAGGUGUCACAGGAAAAUCGAUGCUGAGCCACGGAUUAUUGGAUCCCAUAGAACCGUGGAGCCUUGGCAGUGAAAUUCUUCCAAAGUUUCUUCUGGAUGUCUGAGAGGUAGAAUGGGAGAGGAAAAAAACACAAAAACUAAGUCAAAGCUGGUUCCUAACUCCUUGGUUGUUUUACUACAUUGCCUAGCAGUCCAUCUGCGCAGGCAGAGGUAGAGGUGUUCCUGGUUUGGGAGGUAUAAAUCCUGUGGGAAGUCAACUGGAGAACAUUUUACGCAUCGCUCAUCCUAUAAUGAGCCUGCUGCUCUUCCAUCUCUCGACAAGGUAAGAGAUUUAUUGUGAAUUGACUGCAAGA